rnacentral:lncRNA from 1 species
UAUCUGCAGCCUACUGCCAGCCCCUCCCCCGUUUCCUGUGUGCCCUUCCUGUCUUCUCCGUUGGCUUCCAUCCAGGCCUCCGUGACAUACCCAGAAGCUGCAAAUGAUCUCCAAAAUCUCAAGUGUUUCACUAGAGUCGUGGCUGCUGGCAUAGUCUGUGUUAAAGCCCCAGCUACUGCAGCGGUGAAGCAAGAAGAGAAGGCUGAUGCUGCUGGGUCUCAGCACUGCAUCGCUCGCUGUGACACGGAGAGAGCAGCUCCUCCCUCUCCUCAGAAGGAAUGAGCUGGAAGGAAAAUGAUCAACAAGAAAAGCAUGUUCAUAGGAGAAAGAAUUUCAGUUGCUUGUGGAUUCAGCUGCCCAGCACAUGCACUAUUCAUUAGCACUGGCAGAGGAACUUGUACGGGAGAGGGCUGCAUGGCUGUUUUUGAAGAGGGAAGACAGAAGAACUUGUUGAUAGCACAAGGACAAAGGCGCAAACAUGCUGGAAGGGAUGUGCAAGGAGGGUCUAAAGAUGAGUUCAACAACAGACAUUCAGAUGUGAAGAAGAAACUCUGCACUAAGCACAGGUAAGAGAAGCUGUUCUAUAUAGGGAAAAUCUAAACAAAAAUGUGAGUUGAGAGUAACAGCACCGAAGGAGACAGUUUUGUUUUGUUUUUUUUUCCAGAGGUUUGGAACUAAAGGAGAGAAAUUUGAUAUAAGGAAAACCAGGAUUGCAGAGCUGCCAGUCUCCUUCAGGCCAUCAUCAACACAAAAUGGCAUUUGGAAACUAGACAGAUACCAGAAGCUUUCUCAAAUACUGGGAAUCAGGAAAGAGAUGGUUACAAAGCUAACUUCAAAUGUGUCUAGGAUGCUGUUCAAAUCAACAGUGAGGAUACAGAGCUGGAAAUUUGGAGUCCAAAUAUAUGGAUAACAGGACACAUAGUGUGUAAAAAGCACUUAAAAGAACACUGCAAACAGGCUAAACAAUCCAUGGUAUUCAUGGGAUCUCAGGGUUCCUAUGAAGUCCUAGAGGUGUCACUAUGAAAUAAUGAACUGCUGUCUCACUUUUGCUGACUUGAGAACACACAUGCAAAUUACUCCAAGCUGUAUUAACAAGCACAUAUGGACCUGAGACUACAGCAGUGCUUAACACAAGCCAAGCUAACAGCCAAACAUGGGCUCAAGAGUCGCAGGGGGCUGGGGGAAGACUCCGUGGCACAUUAUGUUAUGAGACCUUCUUGUAAAAAGAUGAGAAAAAUUGGGAAGUGCAAGCAAACUGUUAGCAUUUGCUGAGUUCUCAGAUCUGAGCCUGCUAAAUUAGUGUUUUAAGUAAAAUAACAAGAUUUUAUAAUAUCUUUCCAACUAGUCAUUUGACAGCUUUCCACAGAUGGUCUGAAGUAUGUAUGAAAAUAUAAUACAAGUGGAAAAUUCCUUAUCUAACUUUACAGCAUCCUUAUGUGCUAGGAGAAGGGUGGAAGCAGAAGAAACCUAGCAAGAGAGUGAUGUUCCCAUUCGGAAAACAGAGUGUGGAAAUGCAAGGGAGUUGCAAGGAAAAGCAAGGGGAUCAGUGAAGGCAGCGCUAGCAGCACUC